GGGCCCGCACAAGCGGUGGAGCAUGUGGUUUAAUUCGAUGCAACGCGAAGAACCUUACCUGGUCUUGACAUACACAGAAUCUUGUAGAGAUACGAGAGUGCCUUCGGGAAUUGUGAUACAGGUGCUGCAUGGCUGUCGUCAGCUCGUGUCGUGAGAUGUUGGGUUAAGUCCCGCAACGAGCGCAAUCCUUGUCCUUAGUUACCAGCGGGUUAAGCCGGGAACUCUAAGGAUACUGCCAGUGACAAACUGGAGGAAGGCGGGGACGACGUCAAGUCAUCAUGGCCCCUUACGACCAGGGCUACACACGUGCUACAAUGGUAGGUACAGAGGGCAGCUACACAGCGAUGUGAUGCGAAUCCCAAAAAGCCGGUCUCAGUUCGGAUUGAGGUCUGCAACUCGACCUCAUGAAGUCGGAGUCGCUAGUAAUCG
rnacentral:rRNA from 1 species